CCACCAUCUUUAAGCAUUCUUGCGAGUGUGUUUAAAAAUGGUUUCGAAAGAAAUCUGCUCUUUAACAAUUUGGAAAGCUGACAAAACAACAAUUUAUUGUUGUUUGUAAAGUUCUCAAUGUUUGUCUUUAGGACAAACACCAACAAACACAUUCAAGUGUUCUUGGGAAGGUCACUUUUUAGUGACUAUUCGAAAUUGAGUCCGGCAAAAUCAACGCUAUCUCGCUCAUUCAAAUAAUGAGAUAGCAACUUUGGUUGUUUAACAAAGACCCUUUGG
rnacentral:misc_RNA from 1 species